AGUCCUUUGUCUCUCCCACACACACACACACUAAACAAAAUGCACUGCAAGGGAUUCGGGUCAGCUGCUGCUCCCCUGCCCUAGGACCUGAGGAAAGAGAGAUUUUGUCUUUGUCAGCAAAGGAGGCUCUGCCACUGACUUGCUCUGUGGCACUGGAUGAAUAAAUAAUACCUAGAAGAAUAACCAUGUCACAGAUGAUGGAGAGAGGCUCCCAGGGGAAUAAGAGGCCAAGCAGGAGAACAACAGUUUUGUGUACUGAAGAUGGCAGGAAGAUCCCUGUUCAUCGGGCUUCCCCAAUUUCUAUUUUUAGGCUUUUCUAUUUGCACUAAUUUGGCUGUAAAUGCAGAUGAGUUCAUGUCAACAACAGAGCUGGGAUGCUCUGGGGCAGUUUAAUCUCAGACCAACUUAAAUUAACAAACCAAAUGGAAAGCCGUAAUGGUGAGAAUGCAGCAACGCACCAUGUCCCACAAUGGUAAAGAGGAUGACCUUUCACUAGAGAAACAAAGACCGGGACGAGACGUUACGGCAAUUGGUUUAAGUGCAACUAAUAGAGGGCCAUUUAUUUAGGUCUUCAAGUCUCACACAAAAAAUCACCCCACUUGGCAAUAAUUGAUGCCUUUGCUGGCAAACUCAGCAUGAGCCAAGGAUUGGAUGGGCCAUGGAGACUGAACUCCCCAAUUCACAAGAGCACAGUCCAUCCAGCUCAGGUUUGAAGCCUAUUUCAUGCAGGAACGUUGGUUUGGAAAAGUUGUGCAGCUGUUCCAAGGAUAAUAAUGACAGGUUUCAGAUAAUUAGCCCUUACAGUUUGUAUGGCAACUUCCACCUUCUCUGUGUGUAUAUAUCUAUCUUCUUACUAUAUGUUCCAUUCUAUGCAUCCGAUGAAGUGGGCUCUAACUCAUGAAAGCUUAUGCUCUAAUAAAUUUGUUAGUCUCUAAGGUG